CGCAAGCCUGAUGGAGCAACACCGCGUGAGUGAAGAAGGGUUUCGGCUCGUAAAGCUCUGUUGUUAAAGAAGAACACGUAUGAGAGCAACUGUUCAUACGUUGACGGUAUUUAACCAGAAAGUCACGGCUAACUACGUGCCAGCAGCCGCGGUAAUACGUAGGUGGCAAGCGUUAUCCGGAUUUAUUGGGCGUAAAGAGAGUGCAGGCGGUUUUCUAAGUCUGAUGUGAAAGCCUUCGGCUUAACCGGAGAAGUGCAUCGGAAACUGGAUAACUUGAGUGCAGAAGAGGGUAGUGGAACUCCAUGUGUAGCGGUGGAAUGCGUAGAUAUAUGGAAGAACACCAGUGGCGAAGGCGGCUACCUGGUCUGCAACUGACGCUGAGACUCGAAAGCAUGGGUAGCGAACAGGAUUAGAUACCCUGGUAG
rnacentral:rRNA from 1 species